UGAUUGUGAGCAAUGAUUGAUUUGUUGGAAUGACAUGUAAUCGGCCGAGUCGAUUGAUCGCUGAGACGAUCCAAGUGGUUGAAUUGUUUUGAUAAUGUGAUUGAGCCAUGGUUGUUUGGUUAUCAUAAUUGUACGUGGUUGAAUUAUAUAAAUUGCGCUAACCUACAGAUGAAGGCUGAGGCGAGGUAAGUCUUCUGUG
rnacentral:lncRNA from 1 species